rnacentral:rRNA from 1 species
CUGAUUUCAGACUAGCCAUGCACGUCUAGUACAAACUAAAUGAUGGUGAAACUGCAAAUGGCUCAUUACAACGGUUAUGAUGUACCCGGGAGUUCCGAUGGAUAUUUCCAGUAACACUAGAACUAAUACAUGUCCCUGCGUUUAUUAGUUUCGCACAGUCCGUCGCUGAGUCAUGGUAAACAGUUGAUCGACUCGACGUCCCGGAACAGUUUCCGCCCCAUCAGCUUCGAUGGUUGGGUAUUGGCCUACCAUUGCAACAACGGGUAACGAGGAAUUAGGGUUUGAUUUCGGAGAGGGAGCCUGAGAAACGGCUACCACAUCUACGGAUGGCAGCAGGCGCGCAAAUUACCCAAUGCAGACACUGUGAGGUAGUGACGAGAAAUAAUAAAGCGGGACUUCUGUUUCGCUAUUAUAAUGAGGAAUAACCAAAGGUCAUUCCGAUUAGCAACUGAUGGGAAAGUCUGGUGCCAGCAGCCGCGGUAAUACCAGCGUCAGUAGCA